UCUCAGCUCUAGAAAUUUCGUAUGGCCGAGUGGUGUGGACCGACCAUUUUGACAUGACUUGGGAUCACAAAGACAUCGCCAGGUGUAAAAGCUCCUGUGCAUGGUGCGAUGGCGAAGGAACCCGGAGGCUAAAAAAUACAGUUUUGGGGGCGGCAGCCGGCAGAUCUUUCUCGGGAAAGUCGAGUGAGAUGAAGCAUAUCGUAGCUACGACGUCAUUGAGCUAUUGAGGACUUGGUCUCUGGCAAAUACACGAGCAAAACAUGGUACCGUCCUAUAGAUCCAAAGUUUUUCUCUUUUGAACGUGAUCCAUAGCCUUUUCCCAUCGAAGUGAUGUUCGUUACGUGUAAGGAAUAUGCUUUUAGGGCUUGCAAA